rnacentral:lncRNA from 1 species
GCCAUCAAUAGGGCAGCUUCUUCUUGUCCUGCUGAUCCAUAAAACCCUUGAGCUCUUCCUAUCAAUUUCGAGCUUAGUUCUGGCUUUUCUGUCAAUGGAUCAUCGAUCAUGCUUAAAGAACCGAAAAGAGUUGCUGAUGUGUUGGAAGGUGAUGUCACUAUGGGGAUGGCUGUAGGGUUGGGGGCACUAUAAAUGUCAUGCCAAUAAACCCGAAAAUGGGUUAGCUUUUCUUUCUUGAACCCAUAUAGCUUGCGGUCCAGGCUUCUUACAAAGCCUUGAUUUUCUUUUGAAGCAUGAAUAAUGGCUAAAGGAGAGAGGAUGGUGCUGAGAAUGAUGAGUUUGGAAACUAUAAUGGGGACAAUUCUAGCCAUGGAAAUCGUUGCCAUGUUCACUAUUGAAGUACAGCAUUUAUAUAGAGCAUCAAAGCUAGCAUCGUGCUGGUAUUAGGUAUGUAGUCUUAUUUUAUUUUAUUAAGAAAUUAUUAUUUCCAAGUCCGUGAUGAUUACUUCAAGAAACAAGAAUAGUAGGUGCUAUUUCUUUUUUGUUAGAACUCAGUAACUCCAUUUUUUUGUACGGUUGGCUCCAUCAGUAGUAUUUAAAUUGGACCUGCGAUCUAUAUGCCCAUGCAUCAUGUGAGCAUAGUUAUUAAACCCGGUCCGGGUAUUGACCCGGCUAAGAGACCGGGUUUCGGGUUUUAUGGGUCAACUCGGGUCAACCCGGAAAAAUUAAAAAAAUAUUUUAAAUUUAAUAUUUUAUAUAAAAAAAUUAAAAAAAUAUAUCCAUGUUAUAAAUAAUAAUAUGUAAAAUAAUAUUUUAAAAAAAUUAUCUCACAUUAAAAAAAUAUUAUAUUAUAUUUUUAAAUUAAAGUGUUUAAUUAAAAAAAAACAUAUUAUGACUUAGACUAAUAACCACAGGAGCAAAUAUAACCACAGGAGCAAAUAUAAAGCUAGCUAGGUCACAUAGGAAGGAAUACACCAUAUACAUCAUGUCGUUUGUUUUGUGCGGGCUCUUAAUCUCAUCACCGUCUCCUCACAAAGUUUAUCUACCCUUUCUGGCUUCAUCACAAGCAACCAAACACCACACAAACCUAGAAAUUGAAAACAGUCUGCUACCUGUUGCCUCUCUCUCUCCUGAAACUGUGAAUUUGGUCUCUUUUAACCUUUAAUUUCCUUCAAGUUACAGUCAUCAAUCGUCACUCCCCAACUCGAUCAAUGGGUGCUCAUUGGUCUUCUUGAAACACCCCAACUGUCGCAGCUUUCGAUUGGGGGAGCCUCGAGCAUCCAGUAUAUGACAUUAAGGACUAUUCCUCCAUGGAGUAGUCCACUCAUAAAACAAGCAUGUAAGCGAAGCAAGAAAAGGCUUUCCAUUUUUUAGAUCUCUCAUCUGGUCAACAGUACACAUUCUUUUAUUCAACAAAUACAUCACAUGCCUGGAACGAGUUCAAGGAGGAGGGCAGUCAGGGAGCACAUGAAGGAGCUGCACUUUUCAGAUCUCUCACCGGGUCUCGUCCGGGUUUGCCCGGGUCUCUCGGGUCAUGGGUCGACCCGCCGGGUCGACCGGGUUUUGCCGGGUUAUUGUCCUGGCCGGUCUUUUAUUAAACCCGAACCGGUCCAGCCACCGGGUCCCGGGUCGACCCGCCGGGUCGGGCCGGGUUUAAUAACUAUGCAUGUGAGUGCUAUUUCUUUAAUAGAUAAUUGUUCCAAGACAUAACUUAAAGAACAAAACAGAGUUAAAAGAUUCUACUUUAAUGUGAAAGAAUUUAUUUUUAUUUACUAUUUGUUAAAAAACAAAUAAUUAAAAAAACACAAUGAUUUGAUAUGAUCAUACGAUGAACUUCAACACUUAAUAUACACGAAAAGUAAAUUUAAUAUUAUGAUGUAUUAUAUUUUUUAAAAAUAUUUUUUAAUUAAAAUUAUAUUAAAAUAAUUUUUUUCAGAUAAUUUUAUUUUAUAUUUUAUAUUAGUACAUCAAACUCAUUCAAAAACAUAUGAAAAAUCUCAAUCUAAUAUAUUUUAAAGUAAAAAAUAAUUUAAAACACAAAUUAUAACACAAAUUAAAACAAACACUUGGGAAAAAGGUUUAAUAUCGCUAAACCAUGUAGGAUUGUGGCACCAAAACCUUUUAAAUAACACUCUUAGCACCAACAUUAUUAAAAUCAACCAUAUUAAGAAGCUUAAUGGGUUAUCGGUUUAAUUACUAAAUCAUUGAUUAGCUAGAUAGCAUAAUAAAUUGUCUUAUAAUAUAAAUAUGUUUUGUUAUAUAAGAAGUAUAAAAUGAUGAAGUGGUGGGAUCAUUUUCUGGAGGAUAUUCGCCAAGUUUGAGUCUUCCAAGAUCGAACUUUUUACUUUCUUUUGUGUUUUUUUUUUUAAAAAAAAACCAGUCAGAGCUUAAUUCAAUUGGUCCAAUCACUCAAAUUUUAUGUUAACAUUUUGUUCAAUUUUGACUUGAUUCCAACAUACUGGGCCGGGUUUUUAACAGCCGGAGACAACAUCGCUUUGAGACAAAGUAUUGUCUUGUUUAUUGUGGUUCUUUUUAUACAAUUUUUUUUAAUGUUGCCGGAAAUGGCAUAUGCAUGAUUACAAGAUAAACGAUAAAUUUAAUACCAGCCAGUUAUCUUCCAAUGGAUUCAUAGAGAAAUCAUGGCAACCAGUUAGCUAGCUAGCUAUGUCAUUUUUUAUUAUUAUUAUUUUUUUUUUUUUAACGUGGGUGUCCGGACCAGCUUGCGUGCACCUCGACUAAUCCCACGGGUCCUGAAGUUAACGACCAUGUAAACCUCCAGUGGUCAUCAUAUGAGCAACCACAGGGUUCGAAUCUAAGAUCACAGAGGGAGCAAAUCUCUUGAUCCCAAGUUCUUAUCACUGAACUACCACUUAGAUGGUUAGCUAGCUAUGUCAUUUGCUUGUAUAACACAAGGCUGCAAAAUGAUAAAUUAAAUACCAUAUUAAAAUCGGACCCAUUGAUCGAUGAGAUUAGGUCACCAAGACCUUUAAAUCAAUAGCAUAUAUAUAGCUUAAUUGUAACUAAUCCAUUUCUUGCAGCUUUUAAGAAUGUACAAGAAGAACAAGAUAACACUUUGUCUCAACGCGAUGUCUGGCUCGGUUUAAUGCUGACACCAUUAUAAGGUGUAAUUUAAAUGUCUUUGUGCGCUAUCCUUGAAUAUUCGAUUGAUAGGUUUGAUGAUUUCAGCUGAUAGUUGGAUAUAUAUUUUUUUUAUUCUUUAUUUUUUUUUAAUUUUUUUUCUUGAUUUUAUUUUUUAAUAUUCAAUUGAUUGGAAAAUAAACUACAAGAUUUAUUUUUAUUUCCUUUUUAUAGGGUUAUUUUUAUCUCAAAUGAGUUUAUAAGAAAAUUAUUAACUCAAUAAAGUACGUAGCACGGGUUAUUAGGAUACUAAGAUCGUUAUAAUUUAUUAUUAUUUUAAUUUUUUUAAAAAAAUUAUCAUAAGUUUUUUUAAAAGUUAAGUUUUCUAUUAUUAUCAAUUGAAUCGCAGGGUUGAUCAUUUUGCUGCAUUCCCUUCUUGCUUGGUUCCGAUGCAACCAAAAGCUGGCAUAUAAGAUGUGAAAUAGAGGGUUGGUUGUUGAUGACAGAAAUACACAGCGAACUCGCCGUAACAUAGAGAUUUCACUACCGAUCUCAGUUUGCACCGAAAUAAGAGAAUUUUGUUGCAUACACAGCAUUUUUCCCAUUCUUUCUUCUAUUAUUUCAAUGAGAAAGAUCUCAAUCCAAUGCACUACCAAUCUCAGUUUGCACUGUGGAACUUAAUGGCCUCUAUUAAAAAGAAUUUGUGAAAAAACAUUUGGAAGAUGCAUGUGGAGUGAGCAAGGGAGAGUUUAUCAAGGCUUAAGAACGGAUUGGGAGGCUGAUAGUCACCAUCGGGUGGCAGCAGAAUUCAAAUUGGUUCCCGAAGGAGCUAAGCAGAGCCGCAUUGUGGUUGAACUGCACAUGUUCUGGAUCGGUGAUUUUUAUUCUAAUGAAAAUAUUCCGUCCGUGUAAAUCAUAAAUCAAUUUUCUAGUUGUGAUUUAGGUAAGAAUUCCCACUUGUUAAUUUGUUUUUUCUUUCCAAUAACUUUAACACGCAUGCGCACAACUCAGAUUACAAAUGACAACCUACUCUGCACACAUCAACUUAUUGAAAGACACCGCAAAGCCAAAAGAAAAUAACUUUCUAGAUAAGGGGGCCGGGCAUGGCAUCAAUAGUGCAAUACAUAGACAUUAUACUCAACGACAGCAUCACCAGAUUUUAGAUCAAAACUGUGAGUACUGGCCUGAGCAUAUCCUCUGGCAAACCGGAAAAGCCCACUACCUCCGAUCACCGGCAUCUCUCUCACCUUGGAAAAAACAUGGUUCCUCCCUAGUAUGCUAAUGGUGCUACCAUUGUACUUGCCUUGAAGGAAAACAAAGUUCAUGGCCAUCAAAAGGGCAGUUUCUUCUUGUCCUGCUGAUCCAUAAAACCCUUGAGCUCUUCCUAUCAAUUUCGAGCUUAGUUCUGGCUUUUCUGUCAAUGGAUCAUCGAUCAUGCUUAUAGAACCGAAAAGAGUUGCUGAUGUGUUGGAAGGUGCUCUCACUAUGGGCAUGGCUGUAGGGUUGGGGGCACUAUAAAUGUCAUGCCAAUACACACGAAAAUGUGUUAGCUUUUCUUUCUUCAACCCAUAAAGCUUGCGGUCUAGGCUUCUGACAAAAUCUUGGUUUUCUCCGGUGACAAAG